rnacentral:lncRNA from 1 species
UUGAUUUUAGGAGCGAAAGCGGCUCGCCGACGAUAGGAAAUAGAGGCGGAGGCGCAAUAUUGCGAGAGCCUAACGGUCAAUGAAAUAUGAGAAGAUUACAUUCUUUCUUUUUGAACCGGAGCGGAAUAAAGAAUAGACCUCUCAGUAUCCGUCCGUAGGACUAUCCAUUAGAAAAGUUUGAACAAACUAUGUGAAUUUCGAAAAUCAAAUAGGACAAUGCCUUGCAAUUUCCCGGCUUUUUUGCUUCUUUUUCAUACUUUCUCGGUUUUCUCUAAAUAACGAAAAUUGUCUAAUUUUGACUGAUUUUUCAUGAUUUCUUGCUACUUCCCUAUGGGCAAAACCUAGCAAAAUCAUGUAUUUCCCUCCGCGGAUUCAUCUGAAAUCUAGCUCUUCAAUCUCCCUCUUUCUUUUUCAUUCCCAUUUUUUUCUUCUUUCAUUAUCGUUAAUGAGUUCAUUCUUCAGCACUUUCUCCUAAUUUGUAAACUCGAAAUCUGAAAAGAGCCUUUCUUCUUUUCCGCAACUCAUAUUGCAUUGAGCCUCACUAUGAUCCUAACUAUUCCUUGCUCCUCCGGAGGGAUCAUGACUCUUUGAUUUUAAUGGAUAAACAAGUCCGGAGGACGGGGUCCAUCUGAGUCAGAAACCGCAUCUUUGCAACCUUUGGGAUCAUGACUCUCAAAUUUCUCGCAAUAUUCUUUGCUCCUACAACUUCGGAUAUUGAUCAAAGAAUUAUCUAUUAGAUCCAUUGAAUUUCUGGAAAUAAGGCUCAAAGGAUGGAUAUUGAGAUGAGAUUCUUUCUUUUUGAUUAGUAGGUUUAGAAGCGUAGGAGGACGUAGAAGUCCCAUAAAAAGCCCUUGUUCAUUGAUUGCGCUCUUCUGAACUGAUAUUCGCUUCGCCGCAAUAUUCUUUGCACCGGCUUACGCUUGAUUUUGAAAUAAGCUUCCGUGACACAGCUCUUCUUCUUUUUUCUUCUUCUUCCCUAUUCAUACUCAGCAGCUACGGAUGGGAUGCCUAUUCCUCACCUAGGAGUGGGACGGGUCCAACCCUUCUUAUUCAGUUACCGAUGUUACCGAUAAAACUACAUCUGGGAAUUCAGAAAAAAGAAAUGAAUGAUCUUGAAAUUACCAUGGUGGAAUCAAAGAUGAACAAGAAAGUCAGUAGUUGACCCACUGAUAUAUGGCAUUCAUUCCCAACUCAAUUCACAACGAGCGAAGGAAGAAAGCAUCCCAACCCAACAAAGACAAAGGAUGAAAGAAAGAGAGAUCUCAUCCGAGAUCACAACGAAUGAAAUGGCAUUCCCUAUUUAUCUCAUUCUCUAUUUCUUCAGAGAGUAAUGAGAAAAAUCAUAAGUUCAGAAGAAUCAGAAAGCCGGAGGCUGGGUCAAGCGUAGUGGGAGUUCUUUCCUAGCCGAAUCAUAUCAAUUCCGAUUCCAUCAUCUGAUAGAUUCAAUACUCAUUAGACGGGUGUCAGGGAAUCCAUCCCAAAUAGGAAGGACGAGACCGGAAGCAUCCAUCUUUCUCUUUCAGCUGUGAAGGUGAAAGGGGUUGCAGUCGAUCUUUCUCUUUUUCAGUUGCGUUCGUGCUCCUCUUGCACGGUUCUCGCUAUCCUACUUGUUCAUUAGAAUAUUAUAUUAUUGAAAGAACUUCCCGCUCUGUGGGCUUUUGGGACUGAAGUGACUGAAAGAGCGGAUUCACAGUUCCAUUAGUGAAAGACCCUGUCGAUAGAGUGAGAGUCAAAAGGUCUCGAUAUGAAGACGGGUUUCCUAGGGUGCUCUCUCUUCCCUAUAGUAUUCUACAUCAAAGAGAAAAGAAGAAAGUGCUCUACCUCACCCGGGCAGGGGAAGGGCUAGUUUCAUAACACAUUCGUUAUUGAAGACUCCUAAUCCGACCCUCGUAUCCGCUAUCUGCGCUUCUAUAUCCUCGAUUCUCACUCUUCUUUUCUGAAUUCCCCGCUACGUGGGAGCUCCAUAUCCAUAUUAAUAAUGUCUUGAGGCUAGUCUCUUACUGAGAUAGCUUCCUUCCCUUGCUGGGGAUGGAGAUUCCACCACUAGGUCGGUUCUUAGUUCUACUAAACUAGGUCGCUAACCGAUGCCGGAACUGAGAAUGCUGUCUGAACUUAUUCAAUUAGCGCUACGUGGGCUAAAUCCGAGUAAACAAAGCCUCUCGACCCUACCGAGUAUCUGAGUGAGUCCUUCUUUCUAGCUUCCCUGUAGAGCAUUUCAUCCAAUGCGCCUUUCUUCCUUCCCUUAUUCAGGAAAUUACGUAAUAACAAAGAGGCUUAGCACGGUGGGGAGAUUAAUAUGGAAUUGACUUCUUUUCUUAACUUAAAUAAGCGCUUUUCCACAAGAAAAGAAAGAAGGACUGCGCCUGUCUUAUGGAGCCUCUUACCGGUGCGAGAAGGAUCGGAAGCGAAGCGACUCUUAAGUUAAGGAGCGCAAAUCAACUCCUCCGCUCCUACUCCGACUAGAAACUGAAAGUCGAAAAAGAAGAAAUUCACUCGCUCGGUAAGAAAGCUGAUAAUGGGCAAGAUCUCCGGAAAGGCUCUUAGUAAUUAUUGAGGAAUCCAUAAAGAAAGUUUUAGGAUAGGCGAACCUUCUUGAAGUUUCUCUAAGAAAAAAGACUAAAAACCCACUACUAAACCUACUAUUUCUCAUCAAGCCUAUCCUCUCCUUUACCUUCUUUGAUGGAAGUUUUGGAGGAGUUGAACCCAUGAAUUCACACACAAGCUAAAGAGUCGGGGUCGGUUAAUAUAAUAUGGACCUAAUCUCAACGCAUAUUUCAUUCCGCCUUCGCAUAUUUCAUUCCGCCUCCGUCCGGAGUCCGGAGUCCUACAGAUGAAUCUUCCGGACUAUCCAUAUGGAAGUAGGACCAUCCGUAAUUAACCGAAGUAGGACCAUCCGUAAUUAACCGAAGUAGGACUAUCCAUUAGAAUAGAACUUUGCACCUUCUAUCAAAUUCGUGAAUAUGGAUGAAUGAGUCCUUCGCCUCAAUGAUUUUGGAGGCGCAAUUCAAUAUGCGUUGUUGUACUUAAAACAGUAUUUAUUAGGUCGUCUUCUAAAUCAUUAACACCUUUAGUCUUUACAUAGUUUUUCAAACUGGAGGCACUACAUCAGACUCGUCCUACGCAUUUUAUAGAGUUGUCUUUCUUCUUUCUCUCUUGUUUUACUACGCGGUAAAGAAUCAUCAAAAUUCAUGUAAUAGUCUUUCUUAAUAUGGAUAGUCCGGAGCCUUCGGAGCGGAGGCAAGGAAUAAGACUCCUACUACGGGGAGCGCAAAGCGACAUAGGAGUCCUUCGGACGGGCUAAAAGAAGAACUGCUAUGGGUGCUGCGGAUUCCCCAGCGGGUGGACAAGAGGGGAGGGGCUGUCCCAUUGAAUAAGAGUCAGAAUCCACUAGGGUCACAUCAUCCAUCUCGGGAAGGUAAGAGGGAAGGAAUCUUUGAAGGUUGAAGAGGAUGUGGAACCUUUCAUCUGCAGCAUGAGAUGGAUUGAUUUACGAUGCCUUUCUGGGGAGGCCGUCCCUCUUAAUGCUGAUCAGUCAUCCUCGAGGAUCAGUUGCGGCCUUUCCUUCUAUGGGGUUCUCUUUUUGACUUGGAAAAAGAUAUCUCGCCUAGUCUCGACCUUUAGAGUCAUCUGGACCUUUGUUUUUGGGACUUCUUUAUCCAUAUUCACCCUUUCUUUGCCUUGGCCGUGUAGUGGGGAUCUCUAGCUAUCGAGCUUUCCGAACUCAUACUCAAACCUUUCGCCUCAACUCCUUGGUCUAUAAUGAGGCUUCCCAAGAAUCUCAUUCCGAUUUGUUAACGAAAGACCUAUAAGUACCAGUAAAGGAUCUCCUCUCAUUUUCCUGAAUUAGGAUAAAGCCUAGUACAAUACAAAUCCUGCCCCGGGAACCGGGAAUUAGCAAUCUUUGAAGGGAAGAGAGGAAAGGAGCAUCCCGAUCUCAAGAUCGAAGGAGAGCCAACUGUUUACAGGAAAGGAAGUUGAAAGAGGCAUGGUACGAGAGGAAAGCCUCACGGCCAAUUCAGCUAAGUGUCAAAGACCGUUGACAGCUACUGCUAGUCGCAAACCUUCUCUUCCGAAAGAACCUAUUUGCCCACUGACUUUCAGCUCUGUAAAAGAACCCAUCCUCUUAUCAUUUCCUCUUCCUAUUUCUUAUUUCUUAGAAUGAAUAUUUCUUGAUGCACCUAUGUAUGCUAUGGAUUCAGAAAAGAAAGGAUGAAGAGAAUCUGCGAAUGAAAGUGAAAGAAGAAUUUACUCAUUAACGAGAAUUCACUGAUUAAGAAGAAUCCACAGUCCGAAGGCUCAAUGUAAUAUGAUUUUCCGCUUUGUUUUUCCGAAGGACCAAGCUUUUUUUACCGCUCGCAAGUCAAAUUCUCUAAUGGAUAGGCCUCAGCUUGAUUUCUGUUAGAAGGUGGGCUUUCUUCUUCUCAAAUACUUUGAGCCUCGGACUAUUUCUCAAUCUUAGACCGAUAAAAGAUCUUUUUUGACUGAUUUUUUCUCUUUGUCUUUCUGCCUCUUUCUCUCCAACUCACUCGAGCCGCUUCGGUCCUCUCCCUCUAUCGGCGGCGAGCCGCUUUCGCUCCUCUCCUUACAGUCGAGUUCCUUCUAUCCUCUGGUCGAGUGGCUACGCUCCUCUCACCCAGCGCAGUGAUAGUACGGACUUUCUUUCUGGUUUGUGACUCUUUUCAAGCAAUAAGAAGAAUUACCGCUACGUGGCUUUCUUUGUGGCUUUUUCUUACUCCAGACAAGAUGGGUACAGUGGCUCGACUUUAUAUUAACUAUCGUCUUCUCAAAUUCCCUAAUGGAUAGUCCUUCGGACCUGUCUUAUGGAUCCUUUGAUUCUUGUUCACUAAGAGUUCUUUCUUCAAGAGUCAGAUCGGUGCCAUGAGGGAAUGCUAAUUGAAUAGAGAUUCGGCUUAGUAAGCCUUUCCUCGUUCGCUCCUCGUACCUUUACAUCUUCCUAUGAUUGGUUAUGCGAGCAGGCCCCUUCCUGUUUACUAAGUGGUCGCCUUGUCUUAUACUUUGAGACUUUGUUGACUCUCUUUGAAUGAGUUCUAAGGUUGGCGGGAGCUCUUCCCUCCCCUUACCUGAUUUUUCAAGAAAGGGCUGAAAGAAAAGAAAUCUCUCGAAAGAAAGAAGAGGGUACCGUGGAAGAUGUAAAGACAAUAAGCAAGGGGCACUAGCUGGUAGCGGGCUCUUAAGGGUUACCAUCAAAAAUCACUAUCCUCCACUCCUAUUGAAGACAGAAAACCUGCCCGAUUGGGAGAGGGAUGAAAUAGCUCGACCGUAGGGAGAGGGAUGAAAUAGCUCGACCGUAGGGAGAGGGAUUCUUCUUUCUUCUUUAUAGUAGGUUUGUUUAGAAGAAGACUCCCAGAAAGAGAAAGCCUAGCGAAGGGAAGCGACUGGAAAGGAGUGCAGAGUGCAAGUGCAGGAAAUAGCUUUCUUUGAAAGGAUGGGAAAUCGAGGUAGUCCUUUGCUUAAGACAAUGGUUGAGUACAAAGACGAAUACCUUCUCCUCUUACCGGUAAGCAUCUCUUUUCUUAAUUGGCCUAUAACCACCCCUUGUUCAUUGAGGCGGGAGAGAAAGCACUCCACCUCUUCGGGAGAGAGAGCACCAAAAGCGAAAGCGGCUCGACUUAUAGGAGAACAAGCGAAAGCGGCAGUUCGUCUUCUUGAAAAAGGAGAAUUGGUAAGCUCUUUCAUUCGAUCGUCACACCAGUCCGGAGUCAAAUAUUAGUGGAAAACAAAGGUCCAGGUGACUCUACCCUAUUUAUUGAGACCCCACUCCGCGGUUCAAUUCAAUAUUCAAUAUGAAAGGAGCGGGAUCCUUCCUCUUUAUAGUAGAUUUGGAAGAGAGCAGAACUAUCCACUGAAAGUAGAAAAGGUCAAUGGAAGUCCUCUUCCUUAAAGACUUUUUAGUAGGUUCUUUCAAUAUUCUUUGAACCUCCGGCUUUCCCCUUUCUAGUAGAAUAAUAGGAUAUUUGAGUAGAACUCCUCCGCUCCUACUCCGACUAUCCACUGAAUGUGACAAGAGAACUCCAGAAGAUAGGCUUUCCCCUUUCUAGUAGAAUAAUAGGAUAUUGGAAGUUUCAGUUCGGAAUGGAUCUCGCAAUAUUCUUUGCGCCUUCUAUAUAUUCUUUGCACCUCUGAAUUUCAUGCGCUUCCCUUCUCAUAUUUCAUGGAACCUUAUUGCAGACUUCACAUUCUACUUUGUCUCUUCUUUCUUUGUAUGUAAUUUAAUAGUCUUUGUCAUUUGCAGCCCUCCUUUUGAGUCUGUUCAACUCAUCCUGGAGCUUUAUUUUGAAUUGACUUUCUUCCUCUUAUCUUAUUCUACAACUGAUGAAUUUCACGACUCAAUGAAUUCAGCCUCCUUCUAAGAAAAAAGCCUAGCCCAAAAGUCACUAAAAAAGACUCAAGAAUAUCCCUGUCUUAUGGCGCCUCACAGUCCAUUCAAAGAAGCCCACGGUAAAGAAGUGAGUUACUCAACUCUGAAUCACGAUACGGAGCGGUGCGAGUCAGCUCUUCCCUUGAUGCUGAGGAAGCUGCAGCUGCAGGUGCAGCUCUUUCUUCAGUUUAAGUUCUUGUCCUUGCUUUAAGUGGUUGAAGUAGAGGAUGCGUCAUCCGUUCUUCGAUCGAUCGGAUCGCUAGAUCGUCAGGCUAAAAUCAAGCCUUCUUUCUUCAUUGAUUGACUUUUCCAAACUAGUUUUCUUCUCGAAUUGACUACUCCUAUUCUUUUCAAAGUCAGAGCUCUCUCGCAAUAUUCUUUGCGCCUUCAAAGAAAGGUCCAGGUGACUAUCCGCAUUAACAUUAGAUUGGACCGUAUUUAUUAACAAGCAAGGGAAGGAUGUAGCGAACGAUGUAGCGUUUACGUUUAGGCCCAGAAUCAGAAGAUCAAGAAGCUGCCGAGGGGGGUCUUGAAUAUUGAGCUGCGGGAAGGACUUGUAGAGUUGCUCAGCCUGCGAGACGGGUGUCGGAAGAGGAGCCCACGUAGCGGUGAAAGGGCUGUAGCCGUUGCUGCGGAUAGGUCUUCUUUUUUCAUUCUUAUCGUUUUAGUCAUCCAUCCGUAAGCAUGAGUCUGAGUCUAGAGGAAGAAGCCCCCAACGGAAUGAGCAACCGCGGAGUGGGCAUCGGGUAUCUAAGGAUGAUUUCUGAACAUAUGAAGUAAUUACCGGAUCGGGGACGGACGGACGCGCCUCCCACUAGAUCUCUUGGCUUUCAACUCCCAAUGUCUGACACUUCCUUUUUCCCGGAACAAACCGAAGAUGAAGAAGGGGUCUGGCUUCUUUCUAUCUCUUUUUUUGAUGAGACCUCUCCCGCUCCGUGGGCAUUGAACCGAAGGUGCAAAGAAUAUUGCGGCUAUUCUAAUAGAUGUUCGAUUGGGAAUCUUUGCUUUCUGCCUUCAUUGUAUUCUAUUCUUUUAUCGUUUUUCAAUGAAUUGAGAAUCCUUUGUUUGCGGUCUUUAUCGAUGCUAGUGCAAAUAUCGUCCUAUUGAGUGACUGCCUAAGAAAGAGAAGAUUCAGUUUGUGAUCCACUCAUUCAGAAGAAGCAUUCCAAACUAAUGAAAGAGGAAAGUCAACAUCGGGAAGUGGACGACCCAAAGCAGAGGCGACCCGCAGAGGCAAGGGCAUUCGAUCUUGAGGCCCACUACGCGCUUUCGGCUGGAUAAGUUCGUCUUGGUAAGCUGAAAGGCACUCGUCGGCAAAAAGCCUAAUCUUUCACUCUUCAUAUCACAUGGGAAAUACGUGGUCAAUCUCAAUCCGGGUUAAAUGCCUUACCCGAGGGGCACUACUGGAGAGCACUUUGGGCCGUAGAAGGUUUUUAUGAUUUACUUGACUAUUAAAAGAUUACUAUCUACGAAGGAGCAGUCUUCUUUCUCUUUGUCUUUCCGCCUCUUUCACACUUCUCCAACUCACUCUUUCUCCUCGGCCGGAACAACUACCGCCACUGCCUCCUUAUCAGCUGCAACUGCAAGGGCCCGCCCUAUCCUAAACAGUUCAUCCCAUAAGAGAGAUAGAUAGUAUUUCAGAGAACAAACUGGAUGACGUGGGAAAGGGUGGUUGAUCCCCUUUCCCCCUCUUGUGGCGUCAACGACCCUAUCUUAGUCUGCUUCGCUCCUCUGCUGGUAUCAACUAAAGGAGGAUUCGCCCUACAAUAUCCCUGUCUUAUGGAUCCUCAGACGAAAGAAAAAGACUACUUUCAGAAAAAAGGGUAGAUUCUUCAUUCAUGAAAGGCAUAUUUCAUUGCGCCUCCUUCGGUUCAAUUCCCACGCCAAAAAGAAAGGUCCAGAUGACUCUUCCUUGCCGUAGGGUCGACUUCAUCCAUUUUCUUUCUUAUACUUUUGAAGAAAAAUUCUCAUCAUAAUAAGUAAGGGCUUUGCCCUAACAACAGCAUCCCUUCUUCUUACUGGCUUUCUCUUUCUUUUCUCUACUAAGAGUAGGCGUUGGAAACGACACAUCCUAUCCUAGGAGAUUCAUACUCUCAUUCUGAUUCACGAAAGAAAGAAAGGGAAAGGGCACGAGAGCAGGAAGCAUCACAAAGAGAAAAGGUUCGACGCAAACAGAUAGGUUGUGGGACUAAUAUUCAAUCUCCUCCUUCUCCGACAUCCCUUUCACAAUCCCAGUCAAAUCGAAAGGCGGCCCCACGGAGCGGAAAGAGAUCUCAUGAUCUAUAAUGCAAGCAGAGAGCCACUUCUGAAACUGAAACUCCAAGAUCUAAUUCCCUGUUGUCUAACUCCAACUCAGCCGCAACUGAAAGACCCGUCUUAUUGAGGAAUUCCCCCUGAGAACAGUGACUCAUGAACUCCUAACCCGCUCGAGUGGCUUUUUAUUGGAUUGUUCCUGCGCUUUCUUUCUUCCUAUAUAGGCGGAUAACCUAUCCUACUAAGACUUCCGCCCCCUCUCCUUCUCGUGAUCGUACUUAUUCCUAUCUUAUGAAAUUACUUCAACUAUAUGAUACCCGCUCGUAAGUAAACUAAGUCAACUCCUUCGCGCCGAUACAGAAAGAGAGAAAAAAGACAAAAGAGAUGACUGAAGCUUAAGAGGUCUUUGCCCUCUCGUAAGAAGACUUGAGUGCCUUCGCCCCUUUCUAUCUCUUCCUAUUCUGAAACUCUUAUGAAUGUGAAUGCAAUACCUGAAUAAGAUUUGAGACUAGGGAAAGCCUGAAUGAGACUGGGCCGGGAGCUUGUAGGUCCAUUUGCUUAAGACAUGAGGAUUGUACAAAUAGACUCAGAUCUCGCCCAUGGAUUGUCUCACUCCGAUCAUUCUUUGAGCCUUUAUAUCCCGACUGAUUUAUGGAAUAUAGACUUUCCUUGGCCUUCCUCUUCUUCUUGAGUGAAUCGGAAAUUCUUCUUUCUUCUAGCCCUAUUUAUUUAUGGAUGUUCAUUGAGGCGGAGGACUCAUUCAUUGAUCUUUUUUUAUGGGUCUCACUAUCAUUCCCUGUCUAAGGAAACAUCGACUGCUUUUGUGACUCAUUCGGAGUUACUCUUUUUCUAGCUUCUUCGGAAACUGAGAUGGCGUCCGUCCUACUCUCUUCUUGCUUGAAUUCUGAAAGAAUGGUUGGUUGGUGACCGCUUCGAGAGAGAGAUGGAAUUUCUUACUCUUGAAGGUGCUCUACCCUUUUUUCCUUGUUGAGAUAUUCCACCAUUCUGAUGGUCCCCCGGCUCCUAAUUGAGUUCGAGAAGAUAGGAGAUGCAAAUUGUCCGAGGUUAAGCUGCUGAAAGACAAAGAAUUUCCUUUCAAAGAAUGAAUGAAAGGAAGACCUUACCGAGUGCCGUUGCAGGAUAAGUUCUUUGCAAGAAGGAGACCAACUGCCCGAACAAGUUCCAUAAAUCAGUCCUUCAAAGUAAUAGCUAUUAAGACUCAUUCCCCGUCACCUGUCCCCUUAUAAUUGUUCUUUGCGCCUUCGGUCUUAAGACUCCUUCAAAUUUCAGGCAAAGAAUAUUGCGUGGGAAUUGGAGUGCAGAGUGCAAAGAAGACGGAAAAGGAGAAGUGCAAGUUCAAUCAGACGAUCAUCCUCCUUCUCCGGGCUGGGUCGGAGCUAUCAAAAAGAAUAAGUAGGGCGCGGUCUGGGUAGAUAUAUGCUUUCCUCUAACCUCAGAAGCUCUAUUUAGGUCAAGCCUUAAAGUAGGAUCGACCGGAUUUGAAUGUUUUGAAUAGUCUAUCUAAAUCCUAAAAUCAGGCUAUUUCCUAAUAUGGAAUAUCUCGAACGAAAUAGGGCAGUGCCAUAAGACCUCUCCCUCGGAAACAGAUAAUUCCGCUAAGCCAGGAGAUUCCUCUCUUUCAAGGGAAGUAGACGCUCCAGUAGAGGCCAUACGUAGCCGAAAAAAGACAACGAGAGGAUCAUCAAGGAAAGACCUUUAUCUUCUAGUUCGCUCGGAAAGCUCUUUUUCUAAAUCAUGGUAGCGAGAUAUGUCAAUCAAAGUCAAUACAGAAAUCGGCUUAGGCCUUGUUGGUAUCGCGGUUGCAGGCUAGGCUGUGGCCCUUCAAGGUAAGUAGAAAAAGAGAAGAGACGGAUUCCGUUCUUAUUCAUUCGAUGCGGAAAGACUUGAACCCGUGACCCGCUCCAGGCCUCGCUCCCGAUUGAGGGGUUACCCAUUCGGUUGACUCUUAACGGAAUAACUCAUUUGGUUCAACUUCUAAUUCCAAGUCAGACUUCCCAAGAAGAUGACUCUUCGUCUUUCGCUUUCAGGUACCUUUCUUCUCGUGCAAGAUCUUACUCAUUAGUUAUUCAAUGGAGGAAUCAGGAGUCGAGCUACUUCCAACCAUAUCUACUUGGCCGACGACCAUCUGCUUUCGGGGCGGGUCUUUGACGGGUUUCCGGGGGAAUAAAAAGAAGGAAGUUUUCCAUGAAAUCAAAGUCAAUUGGGACAUAAGCCUUUUCAGGCGAUACUGAAAGAAGAAAUCCAGCUACUUAAGAAAGAAGAAAGGCAACCGCGUAGUGGGUCACACCAGCUCCCAAAUUAGCUGCUCUAUAUAAGAUAAAGAAUGCAAUUCUUCACUCACUUUAGUCACUCAUAAUAGACUGGGAGGAGAGGAAAGGUUCUAUCUAUCGGGAGAUAGUGCUUUCUAAGAAGAAUCUGGCUACUUAAGAAAGAAGAAAGGCAACCUACUAAGCAGGUCUCAGCGUAAACAGCGGGGAUGGUGCGUGCGCGCCCUCUACUAAGGCCCUGUCGAGGAACCUCAUUCUUCCUUUUUCUAGUCCUCUCAACUGAAGACGGAGGAUAUAGGGCCUUGUGAUUCAGCAGAGGUACGGAGUAGUGUGAGAGAAUCAAAGUUCCCCUCGAGCUAGCAUUAUCAUUCCUCUUGUCCUUGUGGAGGUAUGGAAUUGCGUGCCUGCCUUUGGGGUUGGGGCAUAGACCGAUCGGCGAAUGAGAGGUUCGUGAAUAUGGAUGAAUGAGUCAUCUGGACCUUUGUUUAUGACGCGCUUUCACUCUAAAUCAAGGGGAAAUACGUGUCAAUCGUUACUCGGAUAAAGCCAGGCUUUUUGCCUCAGUCUCAUUCAUGGAUGAAACCCCUAGAACUGCAGGUCGAAAGAAAAGAGAUGAAAGAAAGGCCUGUGAAAGGAACUCCUCAACCGCGUCAAGGAGUCUGACCUUGAUUCAGAGUUUCCUUCUACAGUCACUGAAAAACCGUGGGAAUAAUCAACCUACUAAAUACUAAAAGAAGAAAAAAAGCUUUGUAGAGAGAGAGGAGGGAGUGCAAAGAAGACGUAGAAGUCUGUAGCUUUCAGUUCCAUGAACGAGUCCAUUUUUCUGAUUUUCAAAGACUAUGUAAAAGAUUAAUAUCUGGUUUUUAGGAUUGAGAUCAAUUAUGAAUUUCUGAUUUACUUGACUAUGAAAAAGAUUAAUAUCGGAGGCUGAGUCCAAAUCAAGGGAUUUUGCAAGAAAAUGUCCUGCCACCUAACUAAGAAGUGGCUGAAAAGAGCUUCAAAGUGGGGGGCGAAAGCAAAGAACCAUGCUCUCCCCCAAGAGGGGUGUCGGAAGAGGAGUUAGGCAGGCCAUCCCAGAUCUUGUGUCCCAUCCCUUGCCCCAGUUCUUGUUGUUGACGCCCUUGUCGCAGCUCUUUCUUUCCUCGCCCACAGAGCGGUGUAGAAGGAGACCUCAUCUCUUUCCUAACGCCUUGCUUCUUUCUUCAUUUAUUGACUCCCAACGUGGACAAGGAACUCCUCUGACCCCUCUUUACGGAUUCAAACCGUCCUCCAUUUUCAAAGGAAGAAAGUCAACUUGACCUACUACAGAGGGACGCCUCAAGCGCGAAGAUAGCAAAGUAGGUCCGUCUUACAAGUCUUCUUAGAAGAUCUUUCACGAGAAAGUAUCGGCCCUCGAGAGCAAAGGUUUCGGAAUCUCCAUCUCUGGCUUCUGCGGUUCAUAAGUGGAAAUCUUUCUAUUGAAAUAGAAAAUAGAUGAAAAUCAAAGCUUUCCCGCUUAUAAAGCAGAAGCUAGACAUGGGACAAGAACGAUCGUGAAACCCACGGAUUCAAUCUUCUUUGAACCUUAUUUAUUGUCUGAAUUUGGUCUUAGUGUGACGUACGCUCGACCAUAAUGAAGCUUGAUAGGUUAGCGCCCAGCCGAAGGGUACUCUGAUCGGAACUAAAGUAGCGAGAAGUCUGACUCAAGGGAACUGAAAAAGCUCAAGCAAGAUCCAGUCGUAUGAAAAGAAUGGUACGAUCUCCUUCAUUAUAGAUCGAUAGGGAGAUCGUCAGGCUGUCGGCGAGCCUUAUAACGAGAUUCACUGGGAUUCUUCCAGUACAAAGAGUGAAAUGCCAGGCGAUAGGCCAGAUCUCUCAUUCGCCGAAGCAUGGAUUUCUCAUCCUAGCACAGGAGAAAUUUUCCACAACGACUGCAGGAACAGAGCCCUCAACGGGGACGGAGACAGCAGGCUAAACUUCCCUUGAUGGCAAGGACAGAUCCCGCUCUUGGUCUAAGAAUGAAAUAGCAUAAACUUCUCUUCCCGCUCCGUGGGCCUUCCCUAAUAGUCAUUCUUUGAGGUCCGUCCUAUUAACCUGUCCUCCGGACUGGUCUCGCUCCUUCACACCUCUCUUAUUGAGUUAAUUGGGUAUUUCCUCUAUAGUCAAUUAGGAAUCGGAAAUAGUGAGAUUCUAGCUUUCCAGACUGAUUCAGAUUGGAGUGACUCUCCGGCUUGCUCUGAGGCUGCCGAUCUACUCAACUGUGAGAUUUUCAAUGGGAAAGCGGGCAUAACCUGGUCCUUCUCCCCUAACCUAUGAUCAUUGUUCUAGCUGGUUCUCGGAAAUCUGACUCUGGUUCUUCCCUUUGCCCAGAAACUCCACCAGGAAGAGAGAAAGUCAAGAUCUCAUUCCGAUUCCUCUCUGGCUGCCCCUCUUUUCUGGGCCAAGGAUUAGGAAGGGAGUUCUAGUUCUUCCUAUUAAUAGGACAAUCAGUUCCUUUCCCGAUUGACUUCCGUAACCCUACUUAUUUGUUCUAGCUUGAGGCGGCCGGCCAAGGAACCUAUUCUAAGCGAAAGAGUCUUAUCUUGAUUUAUUUCAUAAUGCUAAAUGCUCCGAAUCUAGUAAUAUGGAUAAAUAAGGGUCAGGACGUCUUGAUGAUUUUCAAAGAAAGACAAGAGAGAAAGAAGAAAGACAAGUCCUUCUACGCGGCAAGGAAUGAAGGAGUCCUUUUUAUGAUAGUCAAAAACUAUGUAAAAGAUGUGAAUGAGAGGAGUUAUUUAGUGGAAUAAGACUCGUCCGGAGUCCGGAGUCCUACGUGCCAAAGAAAGGUCCAGGGUCCUACGUCCGCAGGGCCAAAGAAAGGUCCAGGGUCCGGAGGAUUUAUCCGUAGGACUAUCCAUUAGAAGCAGUCCGCAGGAUUUAUCCGGAGGACCAUCAAAGAAAGGUCCAGGUGAUUUAUCCGUAGGACCAUCCAUAUGGAAGGAAGUAGUCCGGAGUCCGGAGGAUUCUUAUCCGUAGGACUAUCCAUAUGGAAGUAGGACCAUCCGUAAUUAACCGAAGUAGGACCAUCCGUAAUUAACAGAAGUAGUCCGGAGUCCGGAGGAUUUAUCCGUAGGACCAUCCAUAUGGAGGGAAGUAGGACUAUCCAUUAGAAGGGCUGACUUUGGGCCUCCGUAGCUUAAUAUGGGACUAUGAACCAUAUUUUAGAUUAGAACUCCUCUUCUCAAUAUUCUUUCUCCGCAAUAUUCUUUGCUUUUCUCACGCAAGUCAAAUUCUCUAAUGGAUAGGCCUCCGCUAGGCUGAAUUCAAUAUUCUCAAAAGUCUUCCAGGAUAUAAUAGCUUUUUUUUGGAAUGGAAUACUCCUUUUUAGUGGACGCUACUUGAUUUGAUUAUGGGGGGAUGAGACUGAUUUAUCCAUAUUCAGUAAAUAGGAGCACGUAGAAGGCGCAAAGAAUUUGCGAAGAAGGACUAUCCAUAUUAACCCAGAGAAGAAUAUUGAAUCUACCUUUUCAAAAAGCUCCGAACGUUACACUCGCCACUAAAAUCAAAAAAGAAGGACUUUCUCAUUUCCGACUACUGAUUUUGAACUCGAAAGAAAGAGAGUGGUGCGGCGGACGAAGUGAAGGUAGGAUGAAGAGGAGUAUGAGUUCUUUGUUUAGAACUGGUGCGCAGUUCCCACGGGAAGGCUAAGCCUCACUCACCCUUUUUACGAGAAAGAGGGAGAAAGAGAGAGAUACUGUAAGUUGACUCUUCAUUCUCAUUCUUUGAAUUGACUUUUCUUCUUAGCUUUCUUAUCUCUUAUUAUAUUAUUAAUGAAGUAACUAUCAAUCGCCGUCUUCUUGUAUUAUCUUCUUAUUUCUUGAGAGGUGCGAAGAAAUCUCAAGUGGUUCGUAAGAAAGAGCCCCAUACCAUAAAAAAGGGGGGAUAAUAGGUAUCAGCCUCAGAGGUGACCUGCGCGACCUCUCUCAUUAGCCUCUCUUUCCGCUGCAGUCCUUCUUCGUCUUCGUCUUGCAGAAUUGUCCCAGACCAGUGCUUUAUCUAGCUUUAGUUGCUGGAUUUCUUGCUUAGUUUCGGGAAUAUGAGCUCGAUCCAGAGAUCCUUUUUUGAUGAAAGAUCUAAAGCAUAUUGAAAUAGAAAGGAUUGAUCAAAGGCGCUUUAGGAAAGAGCUUACCGAUCAAUGGACGAGGCGCGACUUCUCUUUCUGAAACAUAAGCAGCCUCUGCGAGAACUAUGGCUACAGCAGCAAAAGAAAGGGAUGCAAGAAGAGGUGGUCGAGCCUGAACUUCCCCAGGAGGGAGGGGCAAGGGAAAGAACUCCUCGCGCUAGGUCGAUUUGCGUGCGUGGAUCAUGUGCCAAUGCCCCAAGGUCCAUCUUCUGCUUGUCUAGCCUCUUCAGACUAAGUACCUUUCAAUCCGGCCGGUUGAAGCACGUGGAAAGUGUGCCCGGGCACUGUCAAAUCGAGUCUUUUCGCAAGAUGGGGAUGGCUCCGUCCUCCGCUUUCUUCCUUUCAUCUUUUCAUCAGAAAAUAUCCUCUUAUGAUACUCAAACUACAAUAUCCCUGUCUUAUAGAGCCUUGUUCAUUGAGGUCCUCUAGAACCUACUCAAAAAAGAAGGAAGAAUUUCAUGCUUUCCAUGCCAUGUCCUUUAACUUCCUUGAACUGCAUUCCCAUUAUUUUCUCAUCUGCACCCUUUAGUCCUAUAAAAAGAACUAAGAAGAAAGCGCAACUUCGAUUUUGAUGCCUUUCAUCCGCUACUUUCAUCCUAUAUAUUCCCACGGGGCGGUAAGAAUAGGGCUUUCUUUCUUUAUAAUAGCUUUUUUUGGAAUUCAAUAUUUCAGACUCGUCCUUUUUUUUUCGCAAUAUUCUUUGUGGUCCGAAGCCUGAAUUAUCGAAUAUUGCGUGGAAAGAAUAUCCUUUUUCUAUUGAUGACUCGCGGGCGCAGUUAAGGAAAAAUAGCAUUUAAUAAGGGCUCAAAGUAAAGACCAAAUACAACCUCUGCGGUCAGUCCUUCGGACCAGGUGCGCGAGUAAAUCAAAGAAAAGAUGCGCAUAUUGCUAUUUCCCCCUCCGCGGUGCCAUAAGACAGGUCCGAAGUCCUCGCAAUAUUCUUUGCGCCUGUCUGUCCUGAGGACGGGGAAUCUUGAGAGUUGCGUGAGUUGCGUGAGAAAGAAGACUGAUGCUUGAAGGAAAAGCUUGAAGUACAGCAGCCCGGAGCUAAGAUAAAGCGAGACAUCCAGAGGGUUCUCAGACGCGAGACAGAGCUUCAGGUUCUCAUACGACCUUAAUAUGGAUAAAAAUCAGUCCCACUAUUUCAAAAGAAAGGUCAAGAUGACAUUCUUGAUUUUUGCUAGUCGCAAUAAGACAGGUCCUCCUUCGGUUAAUUACGGAUAGUCCUACUUCUGUUAAUUACGGAUGGUCCUACGGAUAAAUCACCUGGACCUUUCUUUGGCCCUGCGGACUCCGGACUCCGGACUACUUCCAUAUGGAUAGUCCUCCGGAUAAAUCCUGCGGACUGCUUCGGUUAAUUACGGAUGGUCCUACGGAUAAAUCCUCCGGACUACUUCCAUAUGGAUAGUCCUACUUCCCUCCAUAUGGAUGGUCCUACGGAUAAAUCCUCCGGACGUAGGAUAAAUCCUGCGGACUCCGGACUCCGGACCCUGGACCUUUCUUUGGCACUCCGGACCUGUCUUAUGGCACCGCUACGUGGGUAGAAAGCCGAGUCUAUCUGCACCCGCGCCUGAUUUUUCUUCUUCGCGCCUUCGGACAGGUCUCGUCUUUGUUCAUUGAUUCUUCCUACCAAGAACAUCGAUCAGUCCCUAGGGUUAUAUUUCUUACUUGAUGAUGGAAGGCUUGAAGCCUCAUUACCUGGAGUUGACUCCCUUGAAGCUACUAUAGAUGCUUCCGUUGAAUCUUCUGAACCUGGGGUUUAUGGUAUUUCCCUUAUCCUUUUACUCGUAAGCUUUCCUUUCGCCCUAGGCGAAGGCUACGUGGCUUUCUUUCUUUGUGUCUAGUAAGACUGAAUAUGGACCUAAUGGAUAGUCCCCUUAUAAAAAACGCCACUUUUCUAGGGGCUCAAAGAAUUAUGCGAAGGUUCAGCUUCAUUCCUAUGAACUUUUCAUUGAUUGCACUCCUUCUAUAUAUUAUAUUCUUUGCACCUCUCCAUUUCAUGCUCCUCAAAUUCUGAUCGCCAUUCUCUUCUUUCCGUCGAGCUAUUUCAUAAACUCCGGACCUCCGCGGUUCUCAGGGAAGAAAGCCUACCUUCCUCCCGUAGAUCAGUCUAUGAGCCUUAUGGUUGGGGCCUUUGUCCUUAUGGUGGGAGUUUAGUUUGUCCCUGCUAGUUCAUCCCUCUCCUUAAUAAAGAAAGAAGAGGAUAUUCACAACAAAUAAAGAAAAGAGAGCAGCUAAUACGGCUAAGAAAGAAAGAAGAAGAUAGACUCAAGAUAUAAUAAUAAGAAAGCUAAUCGUCUCGGAAGAAAAGAUAUAAGGAGAAUUGCAUUUUGAUGCCUCUUUCUCUCUAACACACUUUCUCUUUGUCUUUGUCUUUGUUCUUUCAUGAGAGUACGAAAAGCAGAAGAAUGAUCAUUCAACUUACAGUCUUCUUUCUCU